rnacentral:lncRNA from 1 species
CAAAAAUGUAAAAAUUUCAAAAAUUUUGAACCAACCGUUUUGUCAGAAAAAUUACACUGGUUAUAUAGCAGUUUGACAAACACCAAUUUUGAUCAUUGAAAAGCUUAAUAUUCCUUUUACAACACAACGUAAUUAAAACGAUUAGCUGACUUUACAGAUUUAUCUUCCUGUAGUGUAAGGUAUCAUCUUAAGCUAAAGAUAGUACACAUACAUCUUAUAUUUUCAGACAAAGCACAG